GUAAUGUCAUGGAAACAGGAAGCAAAAAUUUUGCUAGUAGAUCACUGGGGAUGAUGGUGAGUGGUGUCACUUCCACUUCCAUCCCUUUAUUCCUGGAGCCGUGAGUCCUGGCUAUGGGAGAAACAGUGCCAUAUAUGGGAUGCUGAUUCAGAGAAUACACAGUCUUCUGGAGAACUUUGCCCCAGGUCUGCAAAGUAUUGUUACCUAGUUGGCAUUGUAAUUGUGACUUCAAAAGGCCGUUCCAUCAUUUUAUCAAUUCGGCUGCUUCAGGAUGACAGAUAACAUGGAAAGGACUCCAGCUUAUGAAAGAAAACGCAAAGAAAGAAGAGACCAUUCCACUGAUUUUGGGAACAAGACAAUAUAAUGAUCACAUCUAUGCUUUACAAAGAAAACUCUGCAUCUAUAUGAAGAAUAAAUGAUGGAGCUAGGCUGGAGAAGUACACUACUUGAAGUCAACAAGAAAGCAGCUGGUGAAAGAUGAUGAGACACUUAUUAGAGGAAGAAGCAGUGAGGAUGGAAGGGAGAGAAAUAUACACUAGAGGCACUGGAAAGUGCAUCACCCACCUUAUUGAGUCAUCAGAUAUGAUAUUCUGAAUUUCCU
rnacentral:lncRNA from 1 species